rnacentral:rRNA from 1 species
AUUGAACGCUGGCGGCAGGCUUAACACAUGCAAGUCGAACGAGUGGCGGACGGGUGAGUAAUGCUUGGGAAUCUAGCUUAUGGCGGGGGAUAACUACGGGAAACUGUAGCUAAUACCGCCUACCCUCAGAUUUGCCCAGAUGGGAUUCGCUAGUUGGUGGGGUAAUGGCUCACCUAGGCGACGAUCCCUCGCUGGUCUGAGAGGAUGACCGGCCACAUGGGAACUGAGACACGGUCCAGACUCCUACGGGGGGCAGCAGUGGGGAAUAUUGCACAAUGGGCGCAAGCCUGAUGAAGCAAUGCCGCGGGGGUGAAGAAGGCCUUCGGGUGGUAAAGCACGUUCAGCGAGGAGGCGUUACUCGCAGAAGAAGCACCGGCUAACUCCGUGCCAGCAGCCGCGGUAAUAC